AAGGAAGGAAGGAAGGAAGGAAGGAAGGAAGGAAGGAAGGAAGGAAGGGGAGAGACAGAAACUGCCCUUUGGGUAGCAUGGCAUGUGCCGCUUCUCCUGUUCUCAGUCAGAUCCUCCUCCCUCCAUGUAAAGAGUCUAUUCUUACCACUGCUGACAUCUAAAGAGCACAGAAACAAGAAUCACAGCUUAGAGAAGUUGUAACAAGGGAAGACAGAAGAUUGUCUACUUUGGGGAGUUUUCUGCUUUAGUGUUCACAAAACAUUUCAUAAUCUGCAGAUAAAUGUGCAGGCUCUGCAAAAUACAACAUGCAAAUAGUUCUUGGUAAAAUCUAUGGAUCAAAGCUAUUUCUCUUUGCCCUUCAAAUGAUCUAGUUUGCUUUUUAAAUAUUUGAACAUUUUCCUACAAGUUUUGACAAUGACACAAGUUUAAACACACCAUGCCCUUUAUAAAUAGAUCCUGACCUGAAAAAGCUUCCACCCUGACUCUGACUCUUGUCUGAGGUUUGAGAGGAAAAGAGAGAUUUAAAGGGAAGCUAAUUAAGACAAAUCUUCUAAAACAUAUGUGAGGCUACGAAUAUAUUGAGUGCUUAAUUAAAAAACAGUGUUCUAUUGGGUUUAAUACCUAAAUCAAUGAAGUCUUAUCAGUUGAGGAAAUAGUCACAAAAGAGGUUGUGUAAAUGGCAGAAUUGAUGAGUGCUACAGUUCACAAAUUUUCUACCAUCCGUUCAGAUUUGGAUUCAAAUGAAGAUUCAACUAACAGGUAUUGCAACAACCCAAAUCAUAAUUCCUCAUUGACAGAGAUGGAUUUGUACAAUCUGCCCUGAAUUGUUCAGAGUAUUAAGGAUCUGGCCAGCUGUGGGGCUAACCAAGGAAGGUGAAAUGACCAGCUGCCUUGCAGAAAAUUCUCUGGAGUAACUGGGAUCUAAAGCAAUAAUAUGCAAAUCCACAAAGACACUAUAUCCUUUCACUGAUUAAUGGGGUACAAGAAUCUGUGAGAUUUAUAAUCCAAGCAGUUUUAACAACAACACAACAAAAAAGCUACAGUAACAGGAGGCUCAGUGAGUGGGCAGAUCUUUAAGAACAGCUCUAUGUUGAUCAUUCUUGUGCAGCAAUACCUGUAUGAAUUGCUAAGAGAAUAAUAACAACUACUGUUAAUUCAGCACCUACUGUAUGCCAGAGGCUGUGCUAGUUACUUUCCCUACAUCAUCU